rnacentral:rRNA from 1 species
GACGAACGCUGGCGGCGUGCCUAAUACAUGCAAGUAGGACGCAGUUGCGAACGGGUGAGUAACGCGUAGGUAACUACCUAUUAGAGGGGGAUAACCAUUGGAAACGAUAGCUAAUACCGCAUACUAGUAGAUGGACCUGCGUUGUAUUAGCUAGUAGGUAGGGUAAUGGCCUACCUAGCCAACGAGACAUAGCCGAACUGAGAGGGUGAUCGGCCAAACUGGGGAUGAGAAACGGCCCAGACUCCUACGGGAGGCAGGAGGAGGGAAUCUUCGGGAAUGGGGGGAACCCUGACAGAGCAAAGCCGCGUGAGUGAAGAAGGUUUUCGGAUCGUAAAGCUCUGGUGUUAAGGAAGCGGUACUUAACCAGAAAGGGACGGCUAACUCCGUGCCAGCCGCCGCGGUAAUUC